GCCAGCUUGGACCUGCGUCCUCCCUGACGGGUCCUGUACUGAGCUGCCCCGAGGCCCUUCGCUGUGCCCAGCUCGGGUCAGCUCAGUACCGGGCGCGUCGGGGUGGGAGUCGGCCGGAAGCAGG
ensembl:miRNA